GAUGAACGCUGGCGGCGUGCCUAAUACAUGCAAGUCGAGCGAACAGACGAGGAGCUUGCUCCUCUGACGUUAGCGGCGGACGGGUGAGUAACACGUGGAUAACCUACCUAUAAGACUGGGAUAACUUCGGGAAACCGGAGCUAAUACCGUAUAAUAUAUUGAACCGCAUGGUUCAAUAGUGAAAGACGGUUUUGCUGUCACUUAUAGAUGGAUCCGCGCCGCAUUAGCUAGUUGGUAAGGUAACGGCUUACCAAGGCAACGAUGCGUAGCCGACCUGAGAGGGUGAUCGGCCACACUGGAACUGAGACACGGUCCAGACUCCUACGGGAGGCAGCAGUAGGGAAUCUUCCGCAAUGGGCGAAAGCCUGACGGAGCAACGCCGCGUGAGUGAUGAAGGUCUUCGGAUCGUAAAACUCUGUUAUUAGGGAAGAACAAAUGUGUAAGUAACUAUGCACGUCUUGACGGUACCUAAUCAGAAAGCAACGGCUAACUACGUG
rnacentral:rRNA from 1 species